rnacentral:snRNA from 1 species
GUGCUUGCUUCAACUGCACAUAUACUAAAAUUGGAAUGAUACAGAGAAGAUUAGCAUGGCC